GACACUUUGGCCGAGUGGUUAAGGCGAUGCCCUGCUAUACGGUGCUGGUAAGCAAAUGUAGAUAAGGCAUUGGGGUUUCCCCGCGUGUGUUCGAAUCGCACAGGUGUCG